AUGACUAUAUAUAUAUUCAUAUACUUCUAUAAUUUUCCCCCCGCACCAUGGCUUCAAAUGACCACUGUCUGUUUCUCUAUCAUGUUUCUCUAUGUUUAUCUAAGAGAAAGAAUGACAAAGAAAGCCCGUGAAACAGAUGCAGGAACCCUCCUGCUGCCACUGGGUGAUUCUCAGCUGCAAAGCUCUCCCAUCCAUGUGAGCUGGUUUCUUCACCCCAGACCUGAAGGCAUUUUGGCAUUAAAUGAAAUGUUUUCACCUGCAGUGAAAUGCUUUGGGAUGAAAGAUAUCGUACAGACGAAUGAUUAUAACAAGAGAAGGAAAUAUAGUGAAGAUACAGUAUCUGUGUUUAGUACUCAAAUGGACAAGCAGUACUUUUCCCAGGCAAAUAAGCGUCAUUUGUAGCAAAAGCUGUGCGAAUUACUGAAGAGUUCAAAUGAUGUUUGGGCUGUACUAUUUCCUCCUGUACCAGUGUAAAUCUUUGCUGUGUGUUGACGUCAACUUUCUCUUUUGAAAUCAUUCCACUUUCUUGUACGAAAUUCCACUGGAUUUAUGCUGAUGAGAGUGGAUUUUGGCCCCUUAAAUGUAGCCCAAGACAAUUACAUCUCCAUUAAGAAAUUAAUUCAGAAUUAAUGCAGUUAUUGUGCAGUGAUUAAAUCCCAAACUGCUGUUGGAAAAACUGAAUUAUUGAGGUUUGCCAUUUAAGCUGUAGCUUGUGGAGACAUAAUGAACUGGCCUUUUAUAUUACACGAUAAACCUCAUGUUCUUAAUAAUCACUUGGAAUUGACUUCAUGUAAAUAACUAGUACAGCUGCAGCAAUCAGCUCCUGAGACAGUGCAGCUAUCUUGCCAGGAUUUUUCUGGUUGCUGCAUUUCAUUCUACUUUAUUUUUUUACUGUGGAAUUGCUACAAAACCAACCUGUAUGGUCUCCUAGCAGCUCAAUUAAUACCUUGUGUAACUUGUAAAGAGCUCUUUAUGGAUAUAACAGAUUCCUUAUUGUAGGUUAAAAAUGUACCAAUUGAAUUUGAGUGUUGCCAUUAUUAUUGUUGAUGGAGUUUUUCCAACUCUGCAAGAUGUAUAAAUUACAGUGGUUGAAGCUCAAUAAAUAUGGUUUAACAGUAGAGCA
rnacentral:lncRNA from 1 species